GAUCCAUGCCGGAUGUGGUCUAUCAGUUUUGAGUACUUUGACCGAAACCGAUAUAGAAAUUUGAGACAGAUAUAAUGAUGCUGAAAUCAAAACAAAAGGUAGGGUGAAAUCAUAAUUUGGGCAGAUGUUUCUUUUGUCAUUGGAAGGUAUUUGUAUGAAAAAGUCAGCAAUCAGAAUGUGCUUUAAAGAUGUCUACAGGUCAAACACUAGUAUGUGCAAUGUACUCAAGAAGUUUAGCACGACCUGUUGUAUCAUUUGC
rnacentral:misc_RNA from 1 species